rnacentral:lncRNA from 1 species
UUUAUUUGCAGGAAUCGUUAGAUUGAAAUGUUUGAAUUAGGAACCGGUAGCCAAUAAUCCCACAAAGGUCAUUUCUGCAUGCUAUAAAAUGUUGGAAUAAAGAAAGAUGUCAAAAAGGUAUAACAAUAUAUAUAUAUAUUAGCUUAUGUAAGUGUAUCAUUUCUAUAUCUGUAUACCUUAGGUCAAGAAAUCAACUUUUGUAAUUUAUAAUGUCAAAACUUGCAUUUCACUGCCAAUAGAAUAUCAAUUUGUACUCUAGUAUACAUCGAAAUUAAAGCAUAACAACCAUUGCAUAAUUUGAUGCUUUAUGAAAUUUAAAAAUCUCUUCUAUUAAUUUUAAAUUUUAUUUUGCAGGAUAUAUAGGCUCAUAGACAUUACUUGUUGUGGAGGAUUUUGACAUUGGAAGUUGAUAACAACACAUAAAAUGCCACCCAGUUGAUAGCUUUAAGUGAAGACGCACUGAAAAGUGGAGCGUACAUUGUAUGUGAUCGUACAAGAACUGUUGGAAUUUGCAAACUUUUAAACUUUCAUUGUGACAAAUAUCUAUAUCAUAAACUAUCUUCUUAUCACAUUGCUUUUUUGGUUAGGAUACACAUGAUGUAGCAACUAUCUUGUCAUUUACAUGUAGGGGAAGAUCAUUAUUUGUGAUAUAUU